rnacentral:rRNA from 1 species
AACAUUGAAGCGGCGUCGCUAGGCGUUGUGGAGUUAACCUUGAAAUACCACCCUUUGCUUAUCUAGAGUCUAACUCAGAGAUGAGGACAGUGCUUGGUGGGUAGUUUGACUGGGGUGGUCGCCUCCAAAAGAGUAACGGAGGCUUCUAAAGGUACCCUCAGCACGCUUGGUAACCGUGCGUAGAGUGCAAUGGCAUAAGGGUGCUUGACUGAGAGACCUACAAGUCGAGCAGG